GACAGAGGGUGCAAACGUUGUUCGGAAUUACUGGGCGUAAAGCGCGUGUAGGUGGCCCUGCAAGUCGGGUGUGAAAUCCCACGGCUCAACCGUGGAAGUGCAUUCGAAACUGCAGGGCUAGAGUCCUGGAGAGGAAGGUGGAAUGCUUGGUGUAGAGGUGAAAUUCGUAGAUAUCAAGCGGAACACCGGUGGCGAAGGCGGCCUUCUGGACAGUGACUGACGCUGAGACGCGAAAGCGUGGGGAGCAAACAGG
rnacentral:rRNA from 1 species